UUACAGACUGUGCACCAAGAUCAACAUAAGCCCCCAAAAGUGAAACUUUCCCUCAGCAGCUAUGGAAACUGUUCCGUUGGACUGAGAUGCACUUGACAGGCUCCUCCUUGUCUCCUUGCUUUGACUUUCCCACCUCCUGCAGGCUGUCAUCCUCUGUUGGCAUUUGCAUAUUGCGAGGGAAUAAAACCUCAGUUCUCUCAGGAGUGAACCAGAGUGUUAUGGGAACUGAGCACUCGAAGAACGAGGAGCGAAGGAGCAUGGUUUUCCUUAGGAAAGGCCCGAAGCUGCCUGCAUGGGAAGACGCCCUUCUGGCAGGGAGAGAGCCCAAGUCACUGCUGAAACGGGGAUUGCGUUAUGUCAGCUUGAGCCUCAUAAUGAAAGGGAUGACCAGCACGCCUGACUUCUUGUGGGGACUGCAUGAGGUGCAGAAGCUGAACCUUUCACGAAACCAGCUGGUGGUGAUUCCUCCUUCCCUGGGGAAGCUGGACAGGCUGGUUGUGCUGAACUUGGGUGGCAACUGCCUCAAGUGCCUGCCUAAGGAGAUCGGGCUGCUGAGGAACCUGAAGGUCUUGUUCGCCAAUAUGAAUUGCCUGAAAGAAGUGCCAGCAGAGCUCAGCUUGUGCAGGAAGCUGGAGGUUCUGAGCCUCUCACACAACUGCAUCUCUCAACUGCCUUUGAGCUUCACUGACCUGACAAGCUUGAGGAAACUGAACCUCAGUAACAACCGCUUCGUGCAAAUUCCCCUCUGCAUUUUCGCCCUGAGAAGCUUAGACUUCUUGCACUUAGGGUCCAACAAGCUGGAAAACAUCGCAGAGAGUAUCCAGUACCUGGUCAAUCUGCAAAUCCUCAUCGUGGAGAAUAACAACAUACGCAGUCUGCCGCGGUCUCUGUGCUACAUCAGCACUCUGGAGUUGCUGAACGCUGAUUACAAUGCCAUACAGACCCUCCCAGACGACCUGUACCUGCUGCGCCGCCUGCGCCGCAUUGCCUGGAACCCCAUGGACAAAGGCCUCCACAUCGCCCACAACCCCUUGGCCCGGCCCCUGCCCGAGGUCGUCGAGGGGGGCCUGGAUGUCCUCUUCAGCUACCUCAGGGACAAAAAGGAGCACAACUGAGCUUCCGCCGAGCUUGGGAUUAAGCCUGUCAUCAAGACUGAAUCGCAUCGGAGAGCUUUCCUGCGCAGGCAUUUCCACUUCGUAAUGCUUGGAUUUUGAAGGCUGUGGAUGGCUUUAGUAGCAGUUGGAGGAAAGCAAGUAAAGUAUGAUGGUCUUGAUUAAGGGUGUGAAGAGCAAACUUUCUAAAAAUAGCCACCUCUGUAACCUUCACUGUUGUGGUACUUGGGGAUUUUUUUAGAAAAAAAAAAAAAUACAACAUAAUUGUGAUAAAAUAUUUGCUCUUCAUUUGACAGAAACAAAUUAAAGCAGACUGUCAGACAUGCAGAAAUAUGUAUUUGACAGCUAUUAGGCUGGAGAAAUAUUAAUAUAAGUUAGGCUUUCUGUGAUUGCAAUUGCAUUUCUACUCCUGCUCACUUCUUUAUACACAGGUAGACCACGACAUGAGCAAACACUGCUAACUAAGUGAAUCUCAAGGAAAAUGUUUGCUUUUGGCAGUGAAUAUAUCCUGAGCUAUAUUAGCUCACAGACAAUAUAUUAAUGGUCAGUUCAACACCACUUGUUGCUUACCCCGCAGCUGUGCUCUGGCCUGUAUAAGUUACAGGUAGAUAUUGCCAGUGACAAGGCAACUUGCCAGUUCUUUGGAAGUAGAUCCCAAACUUCCCCAGAGCUCCUACUUCCCCUGGUGAGACAAGCAGCCCUUCACAUGGAGCCUCCCAGGAUGCUGACAGCAGUGCUUCACAUCAGCUGGGAGCUGCAUCUGCCCAAAACAGAGAAAGGACUGUGGCUUCUUCCCUCACAUAAAGAAUAGAGUUGCUCAUUGCUGGAUGUACAACUGCUCUCCAUUCCCUUUCCUAUAUGCCUGCAAUCCGAACUAUGGAGUGACUUUACUCGGGAGACAGUACGACUCCUAAAGGAAAAUUAGAUGCCUAUGGCAUUAAUCACCUGAAAAGAUUUUCCACAUGUCAGUAUCCAGGAUUAUAUGACACCGGAUAGCCUCUGAUACGAUCUGACUAGAAGAGGCAUGCACAGUAAUUUACAUGGAAGAUGUGAGGCUGGACUGUGUGUGUUCAUUAGGAUACAAUUAUGAGGGUGAGAAACAGUGAACGAUUCAAGAAAAUGAUCUCCAGACAGAGGAUUAAAAGGCAAUUUUGACAUAAUCAAAUGCAUCUGCAAAAGCAGUUAUAAUGUGAAGUGCAAUACCAAUAAUUUAAAAUUAAAUUAUUCAAUUGAAUAAUAAUGACCUUUUACUCAAGCUAAUAAACCUUUGCAAGCAUAUGAAACACAUAAAAGUGACUGCCUUUUUAAACAGAAUAAUAAAAUUGAUUGAAUAAAUGGUGCUUUAAUGUAUAAUUCAGAUUUUACCAUUAAGAAAAUAAUUUCUACUGAUCUGCUUUAGUAUUUUUUCAUUCCUCAGUCAAGGCCCCUAUAAAUACCUUCCUCAGAGACUGAGAAAAUUAUGUCUCAUGACUGAGGGUAGUGUUCUGAAUUCUUCCUGUAAAAAGAAAAGACUGUAUACCACUGUUAUUGUAUAGAAAUAUGCAUGAAAGGCAAGUAAUGACAUAUGUAUUUGCAUCUGAGUGGGAGCAAGAUAGAAGAAGCAAGCAAGGGCACGGGAGGGAGAUAGAAUGUGUAAUGUCAUGUGCUGGCUCUAGUUUUGAGCAGGGCAUUAGAAAAGAGUUGGUGGAUCUCAGUGUUGUCAUCUGAUAUUAGCUGUGCAAAUGACAGGGAAAAAAGGAACUGAAAGGCUGCAGGGCCUGUAGUCAUAUCUCAUCAUAUAUGACAAUAGUACCACUUCUGGGUAAAUCAAAUGAUACAAGUUUAAUUUUAUAACCUUUCAGAGAACUGUAUGCGGAAUAUUACUCUUGUUUCUGGUAAGCAGUGGAGUUUUCUCAACCUAUGCCUCACAGCAGCAUAACUUCUGAUCCAUCUAUUAUUUUUUGUGGUAAUAGUGUUCUUCAGAGGAAUAGAAAAUGUGGGAUCUGCUCGUGGAAAGGAUCCUUUUCUGGCACAGUGGCUUUUCUGUGGUUGUCACUCAGAGAAGCUCUCAAGGUGCUUAGAAAAACUCUUGAGGUGGACAAAAGAAAGGGCAAAAAACAAGAACAAAGUAAAAAGAAUAUAGUCAGGGGUCAAGUUGGUUGGGAUAAAUGUAAUAUACAAUAGGUCUAUAGAAAUUGCUUCUCAGCUGUCAUCAAUCACACUGGUAGUAUGUUUGGUCAGAUCUGGCAAAAAGGCUCCACCUAUUUUUAUUUUAAAUUGAAAAGAAAGCUGCAUUCUGUGUAAACUUUAAGGUCUAGUCAAUGAGCAAAACCUUUGAAAACUGGAAGGUUUCAGGCUUUUGGCCUAACCAAAGUUAGUGAUUCGGCCUUUGACUGAAAGAAAACAAAAUUCUGCUGAAGUAUUGCUGUGAUAUCUGACUGGAAGUUAUUGCUGAAAUGUCUUGUACCUACUGCUCUGGCACAUGGGCCAAAUUCUUAAUGCCACUCGUGACUGGUAAAUUCCGUAACACGUUGCCUUGUCCCAGCAGCCACUUGGGGCACCCAUGGGAAUGUCACCUGGCCAGGAACACCACUCUGUUACAUGAGCCAAGCAGCAAGAACUUACAAAGACUAAUUGCCAAGAUAUGGAAAGUUUCCAAGAUGUGGACUGGAGUGCCAUUUCAAAACAAAGUUUUUCAGAGUUCAAUUGAAACAUCUUGAAAUUCAGACUUAAAAGUUUAUGAUUUUUAAUCUGGAUGAAAAAUAUGUCAACUUUUUAUUUUGGCCAACUUGCCAAUACUUUCUCCAUACUUUUUUUUUUCCCCCUUCAAAAUCCUCUUUUUUUGUCAGCAUAAAGAAUGGGUUUUAGUCAUUUUACUAUAAGAACAUGAGUUCUGCAGUUGAAACUUUUUGGAAUAUAAAUGAAAUAAUUUCUUAUGCUUCAGGUAGCUUCAGGAAAGCAGAUCUUUCCGUUAAUAAUUUUAAAUCAGUGAAGGAGGAGAAAUCCAAAAAAUAUUACAUUGACUCUGGACAAAUUUGGACUUGUUAUUUCCUUCAUUAGGCCACCACAUUAUUUGAAAAAACAAAACACAGCAUAUAAUUUCUGCAAGUAGAAAAAUCAUUGAUACUUCAGUGUAUUUCUUUAAACAAUGAAAAAA